CCUCCAAUUAGUUGGAGGACCAAUUACAAUAUCAUAUUCUUAUCAACCCACUUUGGACGACCGGCAUUAUAAACUCUAUCGAGCGGCAUUUUCUUUUCUUCCAUUGCAUCCAUAUGUACGGAUAAAAGUUUCAGGUGUAAAAGUUGAAAAUUUAUUAAGUAAUAUUAUGUGUAAAUAGGUUUUGCAAUCUCUAGAAUUUGAAUAGCAAAGCAAAAACCUGAGCAACAUGACAGCUAUUUCAACAAACCCAGUUGUCUCAGUGUUAGACAAAUGCAAAUCUUUAUGUGAAUUGCGUCAAAUUCAUGCCCAAAUGAUCAAAACAAACCUCCUCAAUCAUCAAUUCACUGUAAGCAGACUUAUAGCUUUCUGUUCUCUCUCUGGUGUCUCGGGUGGCUUAGACUACGCUUCAUCGGUUUUUUCUCGGAUCCAACACCCCAAUUCCUUCAUCUUCUUCGCUCUGAUUAAGGGUUUUUCUGAUACUUCAAACCCAGUGGAGUCUUUGAUUCUUUAUGCUCGCAUGCUUUCUUGCUUGAAUUACUCCAGUGGUGUCGAGUUCUCUAUUCCUUCUGUUCUGAAAGCCUGUGGAAAGUUGUUGGCUUUCGAUGAAGGCCGGCAAGUUCAUGGUCAAGUGUUGAAAACCCACUUGUGGUUUGAUCCUUUUGUGGGGAAUUCGAUGGUGAGAAUGUAUAUCGAUUUUGGAGAGAUUGAAUUGGCGAGAAGGGUGUUUGAUAGAAUGCCUAAUAGAGAUGUGGUCUCUUGGAAUUCGAUGAUAGCGGGUUAUUUGAAAGCGGGUGAGAUUGAGCUGGCUAGUGAGCUGUUUGAUGAAAUGCCUGAAAGGGACUUGGUUUCCUGUAACGCCAUGAUUGAUGGGUAUGGCAAGUGUGGCAGGUGUGAGCUUGCAGAGAAGGUUUUUGAGACGAUGAGUGAUAAGGAUGUGGUUACUUGGACAUCCAUGAUUUCGGCUUAUGUGCAAAAUAGAUGUCCAAUGAAGGCAUUAGAUUUAUUUAGGGAAAUGUUGAGCUUGGGACUUCGACCAGAUGGCCCUGCUAUUGUUAGCGUUCUUUCUGCCAUUGCUGACUUGGGUUUUGUGGAGGAAGGGAAAUGGCUGCAUGCUUAUGUAUCUAUGAAUAAGAUAGAAUUAAGCUCUGGGUUCAUUGGAUCAGCACUUAUAGACAUGUACUCUAAAUGUGGGUAUAUUGAGAAUGCAUAUCAUGUCUUUAGAAGUAUAUCCCAUAGGAGAAACAUUGGGGACUGGAAUUCAAUGAUCUCUGGCCUUGCAAUCCAUGGCCUUGCCCGAGAAGCUCUUGAUAUCUUUGUUGAGAUGGAGAGGAUGGAUAUUGAGCCCAAUGAGAUUACUUUCUUAGGACUUCUGAGCACUUGUAGUCACGGAGGUUUAGUUGAAGAGGGUCAGUUUUACUUUGAAUCCAUGCAUGAAAAGUACAAAAUUGUUCCCAGAAUUCAACACUAUGGAUGCAUGAUCGAUCUUUUUGGUAGAGCAGGCCGUCUAGAGGAUGCUCUUGGAGUUAUACAAAAUAUGCCCUUUGAGGCUGAUCUCUUAGCUUGGAAGGCCAUUCUUAGUGCCAGUAUGAAGCAUGGGCACAUUGAAAUUGGGAAAAGCGCUGCUCUGCGAGCAAUAGAGUUGGCCCCAGAUGACUCAAGUUCUUAUGUUCUCCUCUCAAACAUAUAUGCCAAGGCGGGGAGAUGGGAUGAUGUAGCUAAAAUUAGGUUGAUGAUGAGACAAAGGGGAGUGAAAAAGAUUGCUGGUUGCAGUUCCAUGCUUGUUAAUGGGAAAGUCCACGAGUUCCUGUUGGGGAAAGAAUUGGACAGUAGCUAUAGUGGCCAAGUUCUGGCUAAGAUAGCCGAGGUGGUUUCUAGGUUGAAGCUGCAAGGCUACGAACCUGACCUCACUCAAGUCCUUCUGGACAUUGAAGAUGAAGGAAAAGAGAGCUUGCUUAACCUCCACAGUGAGAAGAUGGCCAUUGCGUUCGGACUUAUACACAUAAACAAGAGUGCUCCUAUUCAUAUAGUGAAGAACUUGAGGGUUUGUUGCGAUUGUCAUUGCUUUAUGAAGUUGGUUUCUAAGGUUUACAACCGGCAAAUUAUCAUGAGAGAUCAAAAUCGUUUCCAUCAUUUUGAAAAUGGUUGUUGCUCCUGCAAUGAGUAUUGGUGAACCCCUAGUAUGCCGCACUGAAAGUAUACUUCUACAACUGAAAUUUAUUGGUCCCAAUCUUCAUCACAGAUUGUGGAUGCUACUCAGAAGUUUAAAGUUGGUCUGAGAAGUUAUUGUACUCAAAUAAAAUCUAGUCAGGUGGGACUGGUGAACUUCUAUGGCCCAAGCCUGGCCUUGAUGAUAGGAGUCUAAAAGAUUUGGCCCACUUAAAUAGAAAAAUCUUUGGUCCGUUUUCUAAAACUUUAAAAUUGAUGUUCCUCUUACAAAUAGUGGUAAACUUCAAAAAAAGAUUAUUGCUUGAAUUUAUUCAAAAAAAAAACUGAUAAAUACCAUGGCCCACCUAAACAUCAAACAUUGGGCCAAGACCAUUGGGCCUGGCCGGUGGAUGGUCCUUGGGGCCUGCCUUAAUUGUGGAUGCCCCCACUUUGAGAGUAGAGACCGAUGUUAACUAACGAUAUUUUAAUAUACGGUGUUGAAUGUUGGACAACGGUAACAAAAACGGAAGGGUGAAUUCACUCUUUAUCAUGACUGGUUCACAAAACGAUAUAUAGAGAAUCCAGACUUUGUAGAAAUGGAGAAUUACACGGGAUUUUGAUGCAUAGAAUUGCACAUGUAGGGUGUUAAAAGAAAAGCAAACAAAAAAGGGAAAAAUUGGGCAGCGCUCUUCCUAAUAAAUAAGCGUGAAGCACAUGGGCGAUGCAUUGUUGCCGGAAAAUUGUAAUUGUUUCGAUGUGGGACCACGCCUAUGAUCUAAUCUCAUAGAUGAGUGUGUGGGAGAGUGAGAAAUGUAGUUGUCCAGCAGCAGGAAGAAACAGUAGACUGUAGAGCAGCACCGGCCAUACUCCCAUAGCUGAUCAGUGGUCAUCAUACCACAACACCCAAGACGCUUCCCCCAGCAAUGUUUGUCCCUAUAGCAGUGGCUGUGGUGGUGGGUGUUCUUGGUUGGGCUUAUCAGGCAACUAAGCCUCCCCCUCCAAAGAUAUGUGGGUCACCAGAUGGUCCUCUUGUUACUUCACCAAGAGUCAGGCUUAGCGAUGGGAGGCAUUUGGCAUACAGAGAGACAGGAGUUUCCAAAGAAGAGGCUAAGUACAAGAUUAUUGUCAUUCAUGGGUUUGACAGCUCCAAAGACUUGAAUUUACCUGCAUCUCAAGUAUAACAAUGAGCUAACUCCACUUAUUAAUUGCCAACCACAUUAUAUUCUGUUCUUAAAUUAUGGUUGUUACUCUGUUUACACUUCACAGAUAUGGAAUAAUAGCACUAGGUUGUGAUAUUAUGGUGGGUGGACAUUAAUUUAAGGAUCAGCCACAUUGAGGAAUGGUAUGAAAAACCA